AAAGAUGAAGUUUUAUAAAACAUUUAAUUUGCAUUUAAAAAAUAUUGAUAAUUUCAAUCUUCUUUA
rnacentral:tRNA from 1 species